CAAUCCUACUCAUAACGAGAUCUGAAGCUCCUGACAGAAUAUAAAUUACUGGAUAUCCAGAUUAGAGACGAACAGGGCUUCAAUGGUUCAUACAAAUGGGCUGUUGGAAAUUUCGAGGGCAAAAAAAAGGAAGCCAACAGGAACAAUAACACUGAAUGAUAAAAUCUUAAAAGCAAUGAGGGAAAGAAUUAAAAAAGGAAAGAAUCCUCAUUAUGUCGUGCACAAAGUCACUACUAGAGAAAGAGCUGACCCUAUUAGAAGCGAAAAGUUCCAAAACCCGGCCGAGACGGGCCCAUUUAAGUCCGAUAUGCCUCGGACGGUUCCACAACUAGUCCGGUUUGUGUUCGGACUCGCCCGUUUUAAGUCCGUCCCCGGACUGGAGCGAUCCGAUAUAGGCCCGAUACCUUUCGGACAGCCCGGGCGUAAUCCGAAUGGUUUCGGGUAGCCCGGUGACCGUCCGAUACCCAUCAGACUGCCCGAUUAAAAUCCGAAAUUUGUCGGACUGUCCGGCCCCAGCCCGAAAAAUAUUUAAGUUAUAACCGCGUGCCUCCCUAAGUCGAAACUUGCCGACUCUAGGACUGUUUACAUCAGAAUAUUGUACAUUGUCAACAGAUACAAACAAUUAAUGAGGUACGAACUAUAUGACGUAAAAUGUGUUCUGUGUACGCUUGAAAGAAAAUACAGAGGAAAAAGAUGCAGAAAUUUGCCAACUACACCCUUUUCGAAUAGCUGCAAUGCUGCGAUGCAGUUCUGCAAAAUCAAUGCUUAAGUUACCCUUUCCUAGUAGCUAUUUCAGUUUUCUCUUAAUCUAAUCGGAGUAACUAAAACUAUAUGGAAAAAAUUUAUACAAACAGCUAUAGCAAAAUACUUUUUUCCGGAGUGGAAAAGAAAAAUUAAUUAUUCUCAAAAACAUGUUAUUAGGUAAGAAGCCCUGCAGAGCUGUAUUCAGUUAGCCGAAAACCGCAUCUUUUUAGGCCGCACCGUUCUCCUAUAACAGCGGCAUUUGCGCGCUGCUCGCGGUUUGAGUCAAGAGGCCUGCCGGACAGAUCCUUCCCAGAGAACCAGGUUAGCUCAGCGGUCUAAGGCGUCAACAUCACAUGGGGUAAGUCCGAGAGGUAUGGGAACGAAUCCUAGCUCAGGCCGCCGUAUUUAUUUUUUCGGGCGGGUUACGGAGUAGACCGGACUAAAAUCGGACCAGACUGACGGAGGGGGCAGAUUUUUCGGACUGCUCGUAAAUUUGUCGAGAAUUGGGACGUCCCGGAACAGUCACCGGGCUGGUCCGGUCGGACAUAAAUAGGGCUGCUCCGUCUCCGGACUCAAUUCGGGCGAGAACAUUUUCAAUAGGGGACGAUAAAGGCUCAUAUGAUAUGGUUGACUUCAAAUGGAUUUAAGUUAACUCGUUAACUUUUCAACUACCAGCUUAACUUUCGUGAUUCUUUCAUACAGAUAUGUUCGUAAUUAUUUAUUUUGCACCAGUCAUUUUUCAAUGACUACACACUGUUAAACCAAAUCGUCAUUUGACGACAAAUUUUGAUACAAUCUGUUCGUCACAAGGGUUGAGAUAAAGCAGUCGUCACAAUGUGAUCCACUAUUCGUCACUUUGUGACGCAUCAAUUGUCAUCCCAGUAAGAUGAACCAUUCGUCACAGAUUCGGUACAAUUAAAUCUUGGUGAGAUUUGAAAUAAUAUCUAAAUGUUACAAUGUCGAGACAAGGCUUAUUUUGCACUUUUGAAACAUUUUGCUGUAUUCAUCAAAAUGAUUGGUUUAAAGAUUGCCCACUAGGAAGCCUUGCUCUUAGGGCUUUGUUUAUUCAAUAAAUAAAAAAGAUUAGUUGUACUAUUGGAGCAGUGCAACUCACACACUAGUAUCUCUCUAUACUAGUGGAAAAUCAUCACUACUUUCUAGUAUAUACUGUAUGGUAGGAGCUAAAAGAAAGUAAUAAAACUGUAAAACUUACUUGUCACUUCUAACCUCAUUCAGCAACAUUGACCAAAGGAAAGAUAAGAUUUUCCAAUGCCUUACACCACCACCAAUGUAUUCAAAACCAAAGAAAUCAAAGUACUGGACAUUUUGCAGCCACACAAGUUAGUUGUCACAGUAUAAGUAAGCUCUAAUUUCAUGUUUUCACUAAACCGAAAUACACUCAGUCAACAAAUAUCGCGGUUUGUUCUAGACUGCAAAUAAACACUAAGUGUUGUGUUUACCCUAGCAGUGAUAAGAACCCCUAUGAAAAAUUUCCAGAUCACUGCAGUGUUUAGGUUCGUCUGCUUGUUGCUUUUCACGUCAGCAUGGCAACCUUCUGACUGUAGGCACCCAAUAUACUUCAAAUCGUUAAGAUUAACCAAAAUAGCGAUGCCGAGAACAAAUUAGGUACAGGUGAUCAGUUGCUAUUGUGUGUUAGAUGUAGUAAAUUUUUUUUAACACAAGUGAACCUUUCUAUGUUGUAAAUUUGUUCAUCUACUCCAAUUGCAUCAAUUGAUGCAAUUAAUUUGCAAUUAAUUGCAAUUAAAAUGUGCAUCUCCGGUUAUCAGUCUGCCAUGCGUGAGGUCUAUAUUUUUUACCUUAAAAAAUGUUGAACUUCAAGAAGAUCAUGGAAAACUGUUCACUGAACUUCACAUUAAGUUUGAAGGUAAACAGUGUGUUUAACCUAACUUUUUGGUUACUGAUCCUUUGAGUUUCCUUGUAUAGUACCAUUAUAACUGCAGUUGUUUUUACAUCAGGUAUAGGUGACAUUAUCAACAAUUCAAAUUCAUCAUGUGGUAUCACAACUUUUUUCUGGAUGUGCAUGGUGGUGUCUCCUGAUUCCCAUCCAACAUAAAACCGACGGAACUGCUGGGAGUUAUUGAGCUUUGCCACUCGUGGAUGCACAAUAUUGGUGCUAGCUUUCUUAAUCUUGCCCUCCACUUGAACCUCCACUGGUCUCUUGUGGCCAUCAUCAGGGCUGAUUGCAUAAGCAUGCCUGAAAGAGACAGGAAAUGAAGAUAUUGUGAAAACUUUCAAGAUUUUGGGUGGAUAAUUUAGACAUCUGCCUCUUACCUUUGUAGGUAUUCCAAUGUAGCUGGAGUCUUCGGGUGAUAGUUAAGAUUCAAGAUAAAAUACCUUCAGCAAUAAGCCCUGGAUAUUGUGGGAUCUGUGUUUCUCCAGGAGAGUCCACACAGAAUGUCUGCAGAGACAAAAUGUUUUGUUAUUACCACUCUCAACCAAGUAUUUUAGAAAGAAUUAUUCAAUUUUUGGCUGUUUCAAUUUUUCAACAUACCUCAUCAAGUACUAUCAGCUCCUUGUAGUCUU